rnacentral:rRNA from 1 species
UACGGAGGGGGGCUAGCGUUUGUUCGGAAUUACUGGGCGUAAAGCGCACGUAGGCGGCUUUUGUAAGUUAGAGGUGAAAGCCCAGGGCUUAACCCUGGAAUUGCCUUUAAGACUGCAUCGCUAGAAUCGUGGAGAGGUAAGUGGAAUUCCGAGUGUAGAGGUGAAAUUCGUAGAUAUUCGGAAGAACACCAGUGGCGAAGGCGACUUACUGGACACGUAUUGACGCUGAGGUGCGAAAAGCGUGGGGGAGCAAACAGG